rnacentral:lncRNA from 1 species
AAAAAAAAAUUUUAAAAAAAAAAAAAAGGAAAAAAAGAGGAAAGAUGAUAAUGCUACAUUGACACUCAUUCCAAUUUUUUUUUCCAGUGGUACUGAAUUUUUCCUAACAAACCCUCCUUCUCACUCAGGCCCUAUUUUAAUUUUUUUUUUUAACGUUUUAUUUAUUUUUGAGACAGAGCGAGCGAGCGUGGGGGAGGGGCAGAGAGAGAUGGAAACAGAGUCUGAAGCAGGUCCAGACUCUCAGCUGUCAGCACAGAGCCCCACACGGGGCUCCAACCCACAAACCGUGAGAUCAUGACCUGAAUUAUAGUCGGAUGCUUAACCGGCUGAGCCACCCAGGCAUCCCUGACUAGCUCUGUUUUUAAAAGCAUGCUUACAAGUUGGUUGAAUAGAGUUUGAAUUUUAUGUGGUUAAUUAUUCCACACAGGGAUUAAAUCCACAUAACCAAUCAACUAAUGUUUAGUUGGUUUAAAUUGUUAAGAUUAUUAGCUAAAAGUAAGGAAAAUGAUUUAGUUAUUUAGAUGUUUGUUUUAAAAUGAAAGAUUUGUCAUUGUUUUUUAACACUGUCCAGAAAAAUAAUUACCUUGUUUAUGUUUAUGUCUACUUCUUUCAGUUUAAGAAUGCUUUGAUUGCUUUUCUUGAAGGUAAUUUUGCAGAUACAAAAUUAUUUUGAUAAACUAAUCAUUGAACAAAGAAAAAUGAUACUUAAGACAUGAUUACAGAAUUCUAAGUAUAAAAAUUAAAGUCAGAACUAUUGUGUAAGCACAGUACAAAUAUGAGUCCCUUUUGCUCCCUUGGGAUAGAAAUAGCUAUUUUCUGUAAGCCUUCUAAUUUGUACUUUGCCAUCUGUAGAGUCACUGACUUGCCCCAGUUGUAUAUGCCAGGAUUGAAUCAGUUACUAAGAGCUUUUUUACUUCCCCAUAGGCUCCAGCGGCUGCUGUGCCUGCCCCGGGUCCAGGAGUGGCACCCGUUCCCACAGGUGUCUUCACAGAUGUCCCAGUCAGCAACAUUCGUCGCGUAAGAAUAUUACCCUAAAUCUGCAACCAGCACCAUAGGGGGCGUCUUUACUCUGAUUGUUUAAUUGCAUUCAUGGUUUGAAACACUAACAGAGACUUUUUUUAGUUGGGAAUCAUAGAUGACUAGUUUAAGAUGUUUGCUUUGGCCAAUUAGAUACUUGGGAAAAACAAACAUUAUAUUGAUUAAACACCACUAGAAGGGGCCCAGGUUACGGUGCAGUCCUCCAUAUUCCAGUUAUAAUGCUUGAGGUAAGCAUUACCAGGGAGCUAGUAAAGGGGCAAACAGAGUCCUGAAUUAGGUAAUAAAGAAAAGAACCACUUAAGACAAGUGAUGUUUUAAUGUCUUUGAUUCUAGGUUAUUGCACAGCGGUUAAUGCAGUCUAAGCAAACCAUACCUCAUUAUUACCUUUCCAUUGAUGUAAAUAUGGGAGAAGUUUUGUUGGUACGGAAAGAACUUAAUAAGGUAAAAGGUCUGGAAAUUCCAACUCUGUAAAUUCUAAAAUGUUUGUAUUUCCCCACUAAACAUAUACGUUUUUGCCCAUAUUUUUUGUUCCAAUAUGCCAGUUGAUGUUGGAAAAUGGUGUCUUCAUAAUUUUAACUUGCCGAGAGAAUAUCUUGGACAAUUUUCAUUUUCUAAUCCUUGAUUAAAGCUUAUUAUUUAAAGUUGAUUUUGCCUUGGAUCCAUUGUAGCCUAGCUCAGUCACUAUGAUCCCAUGAAGCUAGAUAAGAUAAGGUAGAUAAGAGUAUGUUUACUCUGUGUUUGCAGUUAAGUACCUAUUACCUAUUUAGUGUUUAGUAUAAGGCACUUUUGGGAAGAUAGAAUAAGGUAUAGUCCUUCUCCAUGAGUUUCAGUUUAUAAUCUAAUUGAGAUAAUGCAUGUGAAAAACAGAGAAGGCAAUUUUUAUUAAAAUAAAAAUACUUAUUUGUACAUCAAUCUCUUUAUGGUAAUGUCCUUUGUCUGCUAAAUUAUGUUGUAUGGGUUAAGUGUUCUAGGAAUUCAGAGGAGGAACCCAGUAAAAGUAGUUGGGGAAUUCACAGUGGUGUAAGAAAAACUUGGUUAAGCCAUGUAGAAUAGUAUGUGUUUGAAUUGCAAAGAAGUUGUAGAAAGUUCAUUCUAAUGAUGGAAUACCAUAGAGGUAAAAUGCUUUCAAGAAAGGAAGUAAGUAUUGCAGAUGUGGAAGAGAGACUACCUUUUUCUAGGGUGGGUAUGCAGUUGUUGGUUUAGGGAAGACCUUGUUUACAAGCAGAACAAUUUGGACUUGAUGAAUUAGACAUGAAGAAACCAGUAAUAGUGACAUGAUGAUAGCAAUAUUUUAAGUAAGUUUAGUCUAAAUAGAUAUAUAGUGGUGUGCUUUAAUGGCAGAGACUAGUUAUGCUUAUCCUGUAAGCAUGAUAAGGGUCUGGACUAGACGGUUGCAUUAAGAAUGGAGUAGGAGAGGGAUAUGAAAGAUGUUUUCAAAGAAGUGAAAAGUAAAAGCCAGUGGCACUGAGGGCAUUAGAACAGCAUUCAGCGCCUUACACAGGUUAUCUGUAGCCUCUCUGACCUCCUACUACUUUUCCCACUUGUUCACUCUGCUGCAAAAACAAUGGUUGCCUUGCUGUUCCUUGACGUUCCACCUGUGUACUCCUACUUGAGGCCCCUUGCACUUGCUGUUCCCUGUGCAUGGAAUAUUCACCCCCUAGCAUCUACCUGGCUUCCUCCUUUACCACCGUGAGGAUCUGACUCAAUAUCACCUUCUCUAGUCUUUCCUGGUCACCUUAUUCUAAAAUUAAGGGAAGAGGAUUGGGGUGAGUGGUCACUUCUCCCUCUAGUUCUUUUCCUCUAUUUUUUUUUCUUUAUCAUGUAACAUUAUUUUACAUGCUGUAUGUUUAUUAUCUAUCCACCCCUUUAGAUUGUUAAGUUCCCCGGGGCACCUGGGUGGCCCAGUUGGUUAGGCGUCUGACUUCAGCUUGGGUCACAAACUCUCAGUUUGACAGUUUGAACCCCACAUUGUGCUCUGUGCUAUCAGCGCAGAGCCUGUUUUGGAUCCUUUGUCCCCCUCUCUCUCUGCCCUUUUCCCUUUUGUGCACAUGCAUUCUCUCUCAAAAAUAAGUAAACAUUUAAAAAAAAAAAACGUAAGCCCCCUGAGAGUAGAAUUUUUACCCAUUUUUUUCACUGCUUUAUAUCCAGGGCUUUAGAGCUAUAUGUCUGAACGGAGUACUCAAAUAUUAGAUGCAUGAAAGAAUGAAGCAAUGAAGCAUUAACAGAGCUUUUUAUUUUUUUUAAUUUUUUUUUUUUAAAUUUUUUUUUUUUCAACGUUUAUUUAUUUUUGGGACAGAGAGAGACAGAGCAUGAACAGGGGAGGGGCAGAGAGAGAGGAAGACACAGAAUCUGAAACAGGCUCCAGGCUCCAAGCCAUCAGCCCAGAGCCUGACACGGGGCUCGAACUCACGGACCGCGAGAUCGUGACCUGGCUGAAGUCGGAUGCUUAACCGACUGUGCCACCCAGGCGCCCCUUAACAGAGCUUUUUAACUGGCACAGAGGUUAAAGUUGAUUGCUUACUUUCAUUGUCAAAAUGUUAAAGCUAUUUUAUAAUUUAUUUGAAAAUCAGGCGUGAAAAAUUUAUGUCCAAUGUAAUAUUUUAUUCAUUUCUCUUAAACAGCUUUAUUUGGAUAUAAUGCACAUAUAAUACCAUUCACCCAUAUAAAGUUUAUAAUUCAGUGGCUUUUAGUAUAUUCAGAAUUCUGUGACCAUCACCACAAUAAAUUUUGGAGCCUUCUUAUCACCCCAAAAUGAAACCAUUCUCUCCUUAGCCAUAGCCCCCACCCCACCCCUCUCAUCCUCCCCAACCCUAGACAACUUCUUACCUACUUUCCAUCUUAGAUUUGCCUGUUUUGGAUAUUUCCUAUAGGGAUAGGGACUUCAUGGAAUCGAUAAAUCAACUUAGGGAGUAUUGCCUUCUUAACAGUGUCCCCACUCCGUGAACAGGGGGUGUCUUUGCAUUUAUUUAGGUCUUUCAUUUCUUUCAAUCAUGUUUAUAAUUUUUUGAGUGUAAGUUUUUGUACUUCUUUUGUUAAAUUUGUUCCUAUGUAUUUUAUUCUUUUUAAUACUAUUAUAAAUUUCGUGUUCACUGCUAUUGUAUAGAAAUACCAUUGAUUUUUGUAUAUUGAUCUUGUAUCUUACCACCUUAUUUUUUAUUUAGUGUGUUCCUUAGGAUUUUCUAUAUACAAAAUCAUGUCAUCUGCAAACAUAGUUGUACUUUUUCCUUUCCAAUUUGGAUACCUUUUCUUGGGCAACUUCUCUGGCUGGCUUCUCUGGCUAGCAAAAUGUUGACUGGAAGUGGUAAAGUGGACGUCUUUGUUUUGUUCUUGAUCUUAAGGGGAUGUAAGUCUUUUACCACUAAAGUAUGAUGAUGACUAUGAGCUUUUGUAGAUCUGUUUUAUCAUCAGGUUGGGGAACUUCCUUUCUAUUCCUAGUUUUUAUGAAGUGGUGGUUGAAUUUUGUCUGCUUUUUCUGUGUCUGUUGAGAUGGUUGUGUGAUUUUUGUCCUAUAUUCCAUUAGGACAUUAUUAGAUUAAUUGAUUUUCAGAUGUUAAACCAUCCUUGCAUUCCUGGGACAAAUCCCAUUUGAUCAUGGUGAAUAAUCCUUUUCUUGUAUUGCUGGAUUUGGUUUGCUAGAGUUUUUUUGAGAGUUUUUGUUAUCUAUAUUCAUAAAUUAUACUUGUCUGUAGUUUUGUUUUUUCUGGGUUGUUUUGUUUUUUUAUUAUAUCUUGGUGUGGUUUUGGUAUUGGAUUAAUAUUGACCUCUAGAAUGAGUGGGGAAGUGUUCCCUAUUUUGGAAGAGUUUGUGAAGAAUUGAUACUAAUUCUUCUUUAAAUGUCUGGCAGAAUUCACCAGUUGGGGAAGGCGUCUGGAUCUAGGCUGUCUUAGGUGGGUAGUUUCUAAAUUAUCAUUCAGUCUCUUUAUUGUUAGCUCUAGAUCUAUUCAGAGGUUCUAUUUCUUUUUGAUUCAGUUUUGGUAGUUUUUGUCUUUCUAGGAAUUUUUCUCAAAGUUAGCUAAUUGUGGCAUAUAGGUGUUCAUAGUAUUACCAGUAAUCUUUUUUAUUCCUGUAGGGCAUAUAGUAAUGUCCUCUACUUCAUUUCUGAUUUUGGGAAUUUGAGUCUUCUUUUUCUCUUUGUCAGUCUGGCUAAACGUUUAUCAUUUUGUUGAUCUUUUCAAAGAACCAACUUUUGAUUUUGUUGAGAUAAGUAAAAAAGGCGGCCUUUUUAAUAUACCAUAACUUAUGGGACAUAGCUAAAGGAGUGCUCAGCGGGAAACUUAUGGCUGAAAAGACCUACGUUAAAAAAGUUGAAACAACCAAAUUUAGUUUCAUUUCAUCCUUUAUACCUCAGGACAUUUGUGUUUGCCCCUCUCACAUCCCCUGCCAGGUGAUAUAGUUUCAGUCUUCAGGAAGAGAAUUGAAGAAAAUACAAUGGUUUCUUGUCUUUGCAGAUAUUAGAAGGGAGAAGCAAAAUUUCUGUCAAUGACUUCAUCAUAAAAGCUUCAGCUUUGGCAUGUUUAAAAGUUCCUGAAGCCAAUUCUUCUUGGCUGGACACAGUUAUAAGACAGUAAGUAAGAUACUGCUGGGGAAGGUGUAUAUCCAUCAGCAGUUUUCUCGUGGUUUCUCAUGUAGAACUAGGAGUAUAGGGGGUGCGAAGAAAUGGAAUACAGGAGGGAGAUGACUUCCAUAGGCACAACAGAUUGAAAACAAUGUAAAACUGUUGACGAGGUAAUGUUCAGUUAGGAAGGACUACAAAUUCUUGUAGUGUAGGAAAGGAAGGUAAAUUUACAGAUAUGAAUAAUUAAAGUUGAUAACAAACUUUAGAAAGCAAGGUUGAAAUGGUUUUUAUUUACCAGUUAAUUCUGCUGAACUUUAAUGAAGGCAAAUUGAAAACAGUACCAAGAAACAUAUUUGUUAAUAUUAUGUGGGGCUCCUGGGUGGCUCAGUUGGUUAAGCAUCUGACUUUGGCUCAGGUCAUGAUCUCACGGUUCGUGGGUUUGAGCUCUGCGUCUCAGGAAACUAAUAUUGUUUCCUGAAGUGCAGAGCCUACUUCAUAUCCUCUGUCUCCCUGUCUCUGCCCCUCCCCUGCUCGUGUGCUCUCUCUCUUAAUCUCUCAAAAAUAAAAAAACAUUUAAAAAAAAGUAUAUGGUAGCAUGUGACUGGCAUGGUGCUUUCACAUGUUGUCUCAUUUUAAUCCUUAUGGCCACCUUAUGAAUUAGGGACUUUCACUUCCAUUUUACAGAUGAAGAAACUGAAGCUCAAUGAGUUAAAUAACUUUCCUUGGAUUAAUUUGUUAGGAAGUAGCAAAACUGUGACUGGAACCAGGAUUCUGACUCCUGUGCCUAGGCUUGUACUAUGUAGAUUCUUUUAUGUUAUUAUUUAAUUUUUUUUUAAAAUAAGAGUGUAUACAUUAGAAUAUUGCUCCCUGAGUGGCUCAGUUGGUUAAGCAUCUGACUUUGGCUCCGGUCAUGAUCUCACAGUUUGUGAGUUUGAGCCCCAUGCCAGGCUCUGUGCUGACAGCUCAGAACUCUCCCUCUUUCUCUACCGCUCCCCCACUUGUACUCUGUGUGUGUCUCUCUCUCUCUCAAAAUAAAACAUUAAAAAAAUUUUUUUUUUAGAAUAUUGUUCCCUGGCUUACAGUGACCUACUCAACUUUUUUUUUUUUUUUUUAAUCCAAGUUAGUUAACAUAAUGAAAGAAUGGUUUCAGGAGUAGAAUUUAGUGAUUGAUCACUUACAUAUAACACCCAGUGCUCAAGCUUUGUAUGGUAAAAAAAAUUUUUUUUAAUUUUUAUUUAUUUUUGAGAGAGAGUGAGUAGGGGAGGGGCAGAGAGAGGGAGACAGAGGAUCCAAAGCAGGCUCUGUGCUGAGACCAGACAGCCUCAUGUGGGGCUCGAACUCACAAGUUGCGAGAUCAUGACCUGAGUUGAAGUCAGAUGCUGAACCGACUGAGCCACCUGGGCACCCCAACCUACACAACUUUUAAUCUGAGGUCUACUCCCAAGAGGCAAAUACAACUUUUAAACUGUUUUUUUUUUUUUUCCCCCUGGUAUUUACUUUUGUAUUUCUAAAAAACAUUUUUCAUUUGCCUUUUAUGGGUUUUUCAUUUUCUUUAUCAACUUAUUGGUAUUAAGGAAGGCUAAGAUUUAGCUUUGUUAUGCUUUCCGUAUACACACACACACACACACACACACACCAUUAUCCUAUCAAAUUGAUUACAGCACAAAUAUUGGAUAAAUCGGUAUUCAGUAUUAAUAUUUUUAUGCCCAUAAAAAUAUUAUUUAUGACUAAGAGAUGUAAUAUGCUGUGAAUAGUGACCAGGCUGAUCUUAAUGGUUCCCUAAGAAGGAGCUAGUUUUCUCUGUACUCACCAUCAGUUCUUUCUGAAAGUUCCCAGAGAACUCUAAGCCAUUUUUCAGUCCUGUCAAUGUCACAGUAACCUACUCAUGCUUUUUCAUUGGCCAUCCCCCUCUGGGAGGACAUCUGAGGGUCUUACUAUGCCUUAUAGACUAUAUUAGUUUCCUAGGGCUUCUGUUACAAAUGACUACAAAAUUGGUGGCUUAAAAGAAAAAUUUAUUCUCUCAUAGUUCUGAAGGCCAAAAGUCCAAAAGUAAGGUGUUAGCAAGGCUGCACUCCCUCCAUAGGCUCUAGGGGAGAAUCUUCCCUUGUUUUUUCCGGUUUUGGUGGCUCCAGGCAUUCCUUGGCUUGUGGCUGCAUAACUCUAACCUCUGCCUGCAUCCUCACAUGGCUUUCUCCUCUGUGUCCAUGUCUUCUCUUCUGUCUCUUACAAGGGUACUUGGCAUUGGAUUUAGGGCCCACCCAGAUAAUCCAGGAUGAUUUCAUCUCAAGAUCCUAAUUAAAUCUGCAAAGAUCUUUUUUACUAAAUAAGAUCACAUUGAUAGAUUCUGGGAUUAAGACAAAGAUGUAUCUUCUAGAGAGCUGUUAUGAACAUAUGUGUAUAAUUCUUUGUGUUGACCUACAUUUUUAUUUUUCUUGGGUUCAUUCCUUGGAGUAGAAUUGCUGGGUCAUAGGGUAAAUUAAUGUUUCACAUUUUAAGAGUAUUUGAAGAAAACACUUCUUUGAAGAACAGAUCAAGGCUACAGGGCAAGUUCUCUGAAUUGUUCAUUGAUUCCUACCAAAUGCCCUUCAUCUGUUUGUUUAUAUAGCCAUUCAACAGAUAUUUAUUGAACAUGUACUGUUGGCUAUAUUCAUCAGUGAACAAGGUGAGAAACACCAUGCUUACUCGCUUAGGAGGACAGGGUAGUUAAGAAAGGAGUGUUCGUUAUGUCAUUCCUUGGCUAGAGCCCAGUUGUGAUAGUCACACACUAUCAUUAGAGCACAUCCUUAUGUUUACAAGUGACAGUCCCACUGCCCUGCUCAGCUUGGGCACUUUGAGGGCUCAGCUUGGGCACUUUGAGGGAUUUGGUACCAUACCAUAAUAUUCUAAAGCUUGUGCCUAGAAAUAGCUGGAGUUCUUCCUGUGAAGUUUUAACUUUUUCUCAAUUGCAGAAUACAUCAGCACGGGCCCUUACACAGACCCCAAGGAGGCUGUGGAUAUAAUUUGGGAGUUUGGGAACUUGGCUGAGGGGGAAAAAGUCAUUCCUUUCCACUAACCUCUAACUGAAAUUUGGCAUUUCCUCUUACCGUAAAUGUAGAGAAUAAAUCAAAGAGGUAUUAACAGUACUUGUGCUGGUGACCAGUAAAAAUCACUUAUUUUCAUAUCACAGCUUUGUUGCAGGAGUCUUAAAAGUGGUUUUUGCUUAUCACUACUUCAAAAUUGUAGCAAUUAUUAGACCUCUUGCCUGAUCUUAUUAAUACAGAAGCACAUGUGUCACAAUUUUUAAAAAAUGUUUUAGUGUUUAUUUAUUUUUGAGAGACAGAGACAGAGCUCAAGUAGGAGAGGGGCAGAGAGGGAGGGAGACAGAAUCUGAAGUAGGCUCCAGGCUCUGCACUGACAGGCUGACAGCAGUGAGCCUGAGCUGGGGCUCAAACCCCUAAACCAUGAUAUCAUGACCUGAGCCGAAGUCGGAAGCUUAACCGACUGAGCCACCCAGGCACCCGCAGUUUUGUUUUUUGAAUAGUUUGGUAAUUGAAUUUCAGUGUAGUUGGGGCUUUUUGUUUGGUUGUGUUUUUUUGUUAUUUGUAAUUUGAGUAUUUUAUUUUCUGUGUUAAAAGUACAUACUCUGAGAAAGAACACAGAUGCAAAGGUACCUGUGGCAUAAUACAGAUUGGGAAUCCUAUUUUUCUGUCCUGAGACACCACCAUCCUGCAUCCUGAGCUCUGAUUCUCCCAUGGUGCAGUACACUCCCUCCACUCUUCCUUCCAUCUGCUCGAGCUCUGCCUGGAGGCUCAGCUCCAGCCAGUCCACUGCAUCUCAAAAUCCAGGGAGUUCUUUGAGUUCUUGUUUAAUUCUCACUGAAUGCCGGGCAUUUUCCACCUGCCAGUCAAGGCAAGUGGGAGGCAGUUAGAGGUUAUGUGUAACCAACCCCAUUUCUUGUCCAUUUGCAAAAAGUCCAAGUUAGGGAAAGGGCAUAGCAAAAUGUCAACACCAGAAGAGAUAUCUCUCUGGCUGAACAGUAGGCCAAACUGAGAUAAAUAUCGAUAUUCUUGCUUAACCUGACACAUAAGCUCUUAAUAUUGUUGAUUAUUGAAGUGUCCUUUUCUUUUUUCUUUUGCAAUAGAAAUCAUGUAGUCGAUAUCAGUGUUGCAGUCAGCACUCCUGCAGGACUCAUUACACCUAUUGUAUUUAAUGCACAUAUAAAAGGACUGGAAGCCAUUGCUAAUGAUGUUGUUUCUUUAGCAACCAAAGCACGAGAGGGUAAACUCCAGCCUCAUGAGUUCCAGGUACAGUAUUACUUAUUUACCUUCUGAAUGUUAAGAAUUACGUUAUUUUUAAGGGCAGCAUAAUGCUUUUAUUGCAUUUUCCACCUUUUGAUUAUGCCUUGUUUUCUCAUGGACACAAGGCCCUGAAAAUAAAAAGUGAAUAACCUGUCAGAAGCUGAAAAUAAGAUAUUUUCCAGCAAUUUGCAAAAGGCACACAACUGACUUUUGUUCAUAUUGUAAUGCUUGUAUAUUUUCAUUAACGUGUAUUCCAUUCAGGCCUUUUUCCCCACUUUCAGCUUUAUUGUAUUUAAAUAGCAAAUAAGAGGGGCGCCUGGGUGGCUCAGUCGGUUAAGCGGCCGACUUCGGCUCAGGUCAUGAUCUCACCGUCCGUGAGUUCGAGCCCCGCGUCGGGCUCUGUGCUUACAGCUUAGAGCCUGGAGCCUGUUUUGGAUUCUGUGUCUCCCUCUCUCUGACCCUCCCCCAUUCAUGCUCUGUCUCUCUCUGUCUCAAAAGUAAAAUAAACGUUGAAAAAAAAAAAUAAAAAAAAAAUAAAUAGCAAAUAAGAAUUAUAUACAUUUAGGUUGCACAACUUGAUGUUCUGGUAUGUGUAUUCAUGCGCUUAUCAUUUUCCUUUCCUUUUUUUUUUAAAUGGUAGUUCAUAGGCCUUUCUUAAAGAUGAUCUUAAGGUCUUUUCAUGUAACAUUUUGUCUUUUUUUUUAUGUUGAGAAGCAAUUAACAUCUGUUUUUAAUCUCUUUUCUUCUAGGGUGGUACUUUUACAAUAUCUAAUUUAGGGAUGUUUGGAAUUAAGAACUUCUCUGCUAUUAUUAACCCACCUCAAGCAUGUAUUUUGGCGAUUGGUGCUUCAGAGGAUAGACUGGUUCCAGCAGAUAAUGAAAAAGGGUAAGUACCAAAAUAAAGAGGGAGUUGUAAGCUCAUUUUCAUUCCAUUAUACCUGUUUUUGAGUCUCAGUUUUAUAAUUAUUGGCAUAGCCUGUUGGAGCUUCAGGUAGAGUCAGAUACAAGUCUAGAAUGAAGUUUCUCAGAGCAGCAAUUCUUCUUUUACUAAAUGCAGUUAAUCCUAUAUGAGAUGGGAAGGCUGAGUUAUCACAGGUCAGGGAUCAGCAUACGUUUUUGUGGAGCCGGGUUGUAAAUCUUUUAGGUUUUCUGAGUCAUAUGGUCUCUGUUGCAAAUACUCUGACGUGGUAGUGUGAAAGCAGACAGAGGCACUACGUAAAUGCAUUUGGCGGGAUUUGGUCUGUGAGCUGUAGUUUGCCAACCCAUGCUCCAGAUGGCUGUUUGGUCUGUCAAACUGGAGGUUGAGCUAGAGGUGUAUAGUACAUAACGAGUAAGUGUAAAAUAAUAGUAUCUGGUUGGAAUUACAGGGUAGGAGUUGGCAUUUGGGCUGGUUACUGGCUAAAAAUUAGCAAUUGCUUUCAGAAUACCUAAUAAUGUUUUUAUCUUUUUCUAGAUUUGAUGUGGCUAGCAUGAUGUCUGUUACACUCAGUUGUGACCAUCGGGUUGUGGAUGGAGCAGUUGGAGCCCAGUGGCUUGCUGAGUUUAGAAAGUACCUUGAAAAACCUAUCACCAUGUUGUUAUAAUUAACCCAAGAAUUUCUAGACUCUCCCAGGUCACAGUGGUUCAUUCUUAUCAAGAUACAAAUAUGUUAUUAUGUAAGUGGUUCUUUUUAUUUUGAAGUUAACCAGUUAUUUUUGAGUCUGUCCAGAUAAGUUAUUUGUAAUGGGCAUUACUGAAUUUUUUAAAAUGCCAAUUACACCUACAUAUUGUACACAUUUAAUAAACACCAGAUUUUGAGCUGUGUAUUCCUAGUCAAGAGAACAUGUGGCCUAGCCCUUUGGUGAGAAGUACUUCCAUUGGGAAAUGCAGAGGUAGAAUUGUGGUUCCCUACUGAAACAGAUACAUAAAAGUAAUCUGGAUGAAACCUUGAGGUUUUGAAAUUUAAUUGCCUCACGUUUUGCUUCAUUUGAGGGAAAGAGAAGUCAAGGAAAGAGAGAAGUCCUUUCUCUUAGAGAAAGGGUUUGAAUUAAAGAUUGAUUUUGGAAUUUAACCCUGUUACAUGAUCUUGGUUUAUCGUGGAUGGGAAGGGUAGAGAACUUUAAGGAAAAUAAGUGACAUUUUAAAAGUUAACAUUUUCUUACACUUCUGCAACUGAGUGUUCUUUGUUUAUUUUUCUAUGAAUUCCAAAAUGGUUGUUUUCACCUCUUAAGAUGGAAGAUAUAAAUAUAAACCAGCUACUUGGUAUAAAUGAGAAUUUGUGUGGGUAUUUAUUUAAACAACUUACAUGUGUAAUUCUGAGAGCAGAAUUUACAAUUAACUCCAAAUAAAAGAAUAUGCUUAUAGAAUUUAACAGAGAGAAGUUGUGAAAGUAGAAUUCUUCCUCCAUGAUUAACUGGUGGUUACUGACAAAUGAACUUAAUUGCCAGAAUCUGUUACUCAAAUAAUAUUGGAAAAUUAUAUCAAGUAACUAUGGAAUAGUGUACAUAUGUAAAAUAUGGUUUCUAGUGAGAUGUGUGCCAAAGUCCAUUUAUCACCAAGACCUGUCUGAAAAGAAGAGGGAAGAGAUACACUGGUAAGCAGUUGGGAGUGCUGAAAGGUUAGAAGCCAAGUGGUCACUUCUACUUGGAUAAAGUAAGAAAUGUUCAGUGUGUACAAAAAAAAGUGUUCUGUGUUUUUCCACCCAGUGUUGUCUCAUGUACAAUAUGAAAGUCCUAAAAUCCUAUUGGAGAGAAAAAAAAAAAUUGUUUAGGUUGCUUGCUACCCGAUCAGCCUAGACAUUUUUUUUUCCAUUUUGUUAUGAUUUGCCUUUCUUCUUGUGGGGGGGUAGAGUAGGAGGUGAUAUUCAGGAUAAUAAAAAUGAACUGGGAACAUUAUCACAAUUCCAGACUUUCUAUUGAAUUGAUGUGUUUUAAUAAAUAUUUAGAAUUGUUUAUGAUAAUUUAAAAUCAAUCUGAUCAGUGUUCUCUUGUGUAUAUGUGGAACAAUCCCCAAAAUUUAGGUCUUUUGGUGUUGAAUUUAUUUCUAAAUGUUCUUGGUUACAUGGUGCACAAGUAACACUGCAUAUAUUCCAGAAAUAUUUCCCUUGCUGUAUUAUUAUGAAAACAAUUCAUUAAUCUGAUUUUUCAGUAAUUAGUAAUGUUAGCUUGAAUUGAAGAUUUUGCAGAAGGAACAAGUUUAUCACAAGGGACCAUCAGUAUGAGGCACAUCUGGUUCAAAUACAUGAAACUUCAAAGAUGAUUCAUUCUUGGCAAAUGUUUAUGGCUCUGUUGUUCCCUUGAAAGAAAAAUAAAAGGUUGUCUUCUCAUAAGAAUUACUGAGUUAAAAAUUAAUCUGAGCUAUAACCUAAAUCUGGACUCAGUCUAUUUCUCUUACCAGAAUUGAAAGAAAAAAAGUUAAAAGUUUUGGUUGAAAUUAUUUAAAAAUUAAACUAUAUGUUUUCAAUGCGUCUUGUCUAAUUUUUGAUCUGUUGGUAAUUAUUUUUCACAUUAAAUGAUUAAGGCCAGGGAUAGCUAUGUAUGUGUACACUCUUAAUAGCAACACAUUUUAAGCAUACAGUAUUGGUAAAAUAAAGGACUGAGUUUAGCAGAAUAUAAUCUAACACUUCAAGCUCAAGGAGUUCUAAAGCACCUCGUGGUGGGGUGCAGCACAUAGCAAGGUGAAAGCAUAGUCUGGCCCUGUUAGAUAGUUGACACCGAUCCUGAGGUUUGUGAGUGAAGUUACAGGAACCCUAGGCCUGGUCUGAAAAAAAAGUUAACCAGCCGGAGAGAUGAUAUGGAAAGGUAAGGUGGGAAGCAUUCCAACUUUUUUUGAAGGAUGGAAAUAUACUAGGUGUGUUAACUUUAGGACAUGAUAUUAUACAGCUCUAGAAAAUUUUCAGACAGUAAAUUAUCCUAUUGCUGGGAGAAUUCAAAUCCAACCAGGUUUAGGAGAAUUAUAUUUGUUUUUAAAUAUCACGGUAUCAACUGUUUAUAUUACAUAUACUAUAUUCGUGUUUUUAUUAUUAAAUUUAUUUUUGAGAGCGAGCAGGGGAGGGGCAGAAACAGAGGGGACAGAGAGAGACUUCCAAGCAGGCUCUGCACUGUCAGCACAGAGCCCCAUAUGGGGCUUGAACACACAAACUGAGCUUAUGAACUGAGCCAAAACCAAGAGGUGGACACUUAACCUACUGAGCCACCCAGGUGCCCUGACACUUUAUUAGUGUGUAAAGUUAAAAAGCUUUAGAGGUGCCUGGCUGGUUCAGUCAGAAGAGCAUGUGACUCUUGUUCUUGUGAGUUCAAGCCCCACGUUGGGUGUAGAGAUUACUAAGAAAAAUACUUAAAAAUAAAUAAAUAAAAAGCUUUAAAAUUAACCAGGACUUUAAAGACCUUAUGUUGAACUAGAAACUUACAAGGAAGAUGUAUUUAUACAAGAUGAUCAAGGAUGUUUAAAGUUUGAUGUGAACAUUGUUGGGCUAUAAAUUGGAAAGUUGGUAUCUUUGUGUUGAACAACCAUAUGACAACUUAGAUGCAUGGAAGUUGAGAAACACAUCACUUCUGUCUUAAAAUCAUUUUUUAUGUUUAUUUGGGGACAAAGGGGCAGAGAGAGGGAGAAAGAGAAUCCCAAGCAGGCUCUGCAUUAUCAGUGCAGAUCUCCUGAACCGAGAGAUCAUGACCUGAGCCGAAAUCCAGUCGGAUGCUUAACUGGCUGAGCCACCUAGGUGCCGCUUAAAAUUAUCUUCUUAGGAGAAAGGCACAUGUCCCGAAGUCAGCUCCUUUUUCUUAAGGUUAGAUUAUUUUGCGUCUUAGGUGCAGUAACACCCAGCUACUGUUACUGCAUCACUGUAUCCAAGACAAGUCCUUUUGAUGUUAAAAGGUCUGAGUAGCUUGCACUCCUACCAUCAGGGCUAUUUUAUAGAAGUACAGAGGUUCACAGAAGCAUAGGUUUGCAUAUUUUUACAUUGGCCCUGUAUCUUUUUUUUUUUUUUUAAUUUUUUUUUUCAACGUUUAUUUUUGGGACAGAGAGAGACAGAGCAUGAAUGGGGGAGGGGCAGAGAGAGAGGGAGACACAGAAUCGGAAACAGGCUCCAGGCUCUGAGCCAUCAGCCCAGAGCCUGACGCGGGGCUCGAACUCACGGACCGCGAGAUCGUGACCUGGCUGAAGUCGGACGCUUAACCGACUGCGCCACCCAGGCGCCCCAUGGCCCUGUAUCUUUAUAGCUGGAGGAACUGCUUCAGUUCUUGGUAAUAAAAAAUUUACAUAGUCUGGGAUUUCUUCCUGAUGCAAACAUUUACUAGAGACCAAAAAAACAAGUAGACCAGAAUUUCAACCAGUAAACCAGGAAUUCUCACAAUUUACUUGGAAACAGGAUUUUCCUAAAUGACAAGUUUGUUACUUUUAAGACCAUUAGAAAUAGCUUCAAAACAAGUAUAGCAAUACUGUUUUAAUAGUUUCUGCUUCUAGCCAAGUGUGAGGGGAGUUAAAAAAAAAAAAGUAUAAAGAUGAUGAGAAAAUCUCAUUUCAUCCAAAAGAACUCUUAGGAAACAUGAAACCAGUAUUGAAGAUAAACCACUACCUCUUCACCCAUAAUGAAGGUCCUAUCCUUCACAUGCCUGUAGCACUGAAAACCCAAAAGGAGAUGAUGCUCUUGACUUAUACCAGUGGCAUUAUGAUGAUUAAUGUAGCUUUCUCUUUGAUAAAUUUUGCUGUAGUCAUCUCAGUAUCCACAGACUCUGGAAGAUUCAGAUAUAAUCUGUACUUCUCAGGGACCUCAAUCAAUAAGUCAUCCUAAGAAUAACAAAGAUGAAAAUAGAAAGGAUUUCUUGGUUAAAAUAUGUGUUACUGGGGAUUAUUCCCAGUUAUUCAUACCUUUCCUAUAAAAUGAGGAUCCCAUUUACUGCCAUGUGACUUGGCAAUAAACUGUAAAGUUGCUGUUGUAGCUCCCUGAGGUUUUGGGAUUAUUUGUUAUUGCUCCUCAAUACAUCAAAAGUUCACUGCUAUGGUGCCAUAAAACAGCUGUUGCUGUCCCCAGAUUAUGUGGCAUUGACUUUGUGACUGACCAGGAAACAGCAAGGAAAAUUUAUCAGCGAUAGGAAAAACGGUGAUCCAGGUUUUAACAGUGAUGAUAAAGGCCUUAGUAAAACUAUCACAAUAAUUUGAAAGACAAGUAACGUGUACCUGGUUUGUGUCUUUAGGUAAAGAAGUUGAAAAUAGAAUGUUGGUAGCAUGCAUUAGUCUUACUGGCUACAUUUAAUAAGCUACUACAAAAAGAGAUGAGCUGAGAAAAGAAUUUCCCAGUUUGUAAGUAGGAUUAAAAGAGAAUAUACAGAGCCCAGGAAUUCUAAAACGUCAGGACUGAGAAAUAGGACUAAGUUUUAUUUUCAACCAAUUAUUUCUCUUGUUAGAGGAUUAUACAUCCUUGCCAUUUGAAUUCCUGUGAGAAUAUUCUUACUAGUCCUAUUGAUGUAGGAUUUGGCCUUGUGACCUGAGUUUGGCCAACAGAAUGUGGAGUAAAAGUGAUAUAUGCUAUGUCUGAGAGAAAGUUUUAGGAGCCAUUGCAUGAGUUACCCGUUUGUAUUUUCCCUCUUCCAUGAGAAUGGCGUAUCUCAGAUGGGACCUACCCCUUCACCUGUAUCUUGAAAUGUGCAAGACCCUGGAGCAGAGGCCUAGGUGACAUGUAAGCUGAGUAAACUGCUGUAAACCACUGAGAUUGUGCAGUUUGUUACUAGAGUGCAUUAUAGUAAAUGUUGACUGACACAAAUUUAUAGUAUUACCUACUCGACUUACCUCAGAAACACUAAGGUCACAGAGAGAUGCGGAAUUAAUACCAGGUAAUUCAACUUUUAUUUCAAUUUUCAGAGGUUUCUCAUUCUGAUCAGCCACAAUUUUUAAUUCAUAGGCUGGUUCCUUCAUCUCUACCUGGCUCUCUGUACUGGAAAUCUCCUCUAUCAGACACCUUGUUUUGCUUGAAACUUCAUCUUUUGGCAAUAAAAGUUGGAAGUCAUCUGGAUUGCUCACAGCACUACUCAUCUGUUCAAGGGUUAGUUCUUCAGGAAAAUAAAAGGCGGGGGGGGGGGAGAUGAAAUUAAAAAAAAUUAAUCAACAACAUAAAAUACUAUGAGCUUUAGUGUGUGUGGUGUUAGCCAAAAUGACAGAUAAAGCUGAAGCUAAAUUAGUUUGGGAAUCUUAAACCAAAGAACUUAGUUAAAAAGUUUGCAGUACUGAAAAAUCUUUAAGGACAUGCUAAUAUUUCUAAUGCCCAAUCUUCCUAUUUUUCUAUCUUAAGUUUCUCUUUUAAAAUCAAGAUUUCUAGUUUGCAAAAUGUACACAGGAUGCAAAAACAAUUUUAAAUCAGUUAAAUUUUCUACUUACAUUUCUUAACUUACCCUUUUUCAUUUUCUCUCUUAAAUCUGUGGGGUCAGUUUGCAUUCUCAACAGAUUUUGUUUCAUCCUUUGAAUGCUUCCUUUUAUUCUAAAGUUAGUAAUGCUGUAAGAGUGUGAGAGAGUGAAUUGGAGUUUUUCCUCAAUGCAUUUCAUGGCCAUCUGUAUUAAUUGAUCUUUUUUCACUUGGUCCUUUUCUGCUGCCUGGAGAACAUCAGGAUUGUAGGCCACAUCGAUGACUGUAUAAACAUCUGUGUGUGUAAUUCAGAGGGUGUGAAAUGAAGACAACUCAUUUCACUAAUGGUACUGUCAGUUAAUUUAUUAAGCCAUAAUCCUGAUAAAACUAGAAAGUAUAAAAUAUUCCUGUAUUUUUCAGAGGUAAUCACACAGUUGCUAUAUACACAAAUUUUCAAUUAGGGCAUUUCUGGGCAUUUUAUAUGGAUUAUUAUUAGAAAAAUUGAACCAUAUUUAUAUAAAUAAAAGUGCUUAUUAGUUAUUAACUACAUUACAACCAAAUACAAUAUUUUACUUAUACUGCCUUUUACCAAGUAAAAUCUGGUACAUGCUUAUUCCCAAUAAAGUUUUUAAAAUAUGCUUAAUCCCCCAUAAUUCUAUGUACCUGAUGUCUCAGACCUAUCUUCUGGUCUGCCAAUACUUAGAGGUACUGGAUGAGUGUUUGACUGGGGAGCUGGGAUCCUUUUCCACUGACACAGGUUGAUGAAAAGUAUUUUUUCCUUUGGUUUCUAAAAAGCAAAUAAUUUUUCAUAUCUCAAAACCUAGUUGUUUUUUUAAAUCAUAGCCUAAAGGUAACUCAGAUAACUUUAUGCUCUAAAAUAGCCAUUCUGUGUAUUAAAACUGUGUUUGAGCCCUUUCACGAAGAUGGCACCUAAGGUGAAGAAGGAAGCCCCUGCCCCUCCCAAUGCUGAAGCCAAAGUAAAGGCUUUGAAGGCCAAGAAAGCAGUACGGAAAGGCAUCCAGGGGCAUUAAAACAAAGGAGAUCCGCACAUCACCUACAUUCCAGUGGCUCAAGACACCGCGUCUCCAAAGGCAACCCGAAUAUCCUCGUUAACAGAGCCCCCAGGAGAAACAAGCUUGACCAGUCUUUCCCCGUGACUACUGAGCCAGCCAUGAAGAAAACAGAAAACAACACACUUGUGUUCGUUGGGGAUGUCAAGGCCAACAAGCACCAGAUCAAACAGGCUGUGAAGAAGCUCUAUGACACUGACGUGGCCAAGGUCAACACUCUGAUCAGGCCCGAUGGAGAAAAGAAAGCAUAUGUUCGACUGGCUCCUGACUGUGAUGCUUUGGAUGCUGCCAACAAAAUUGGGAUCAUCUAAACUGAGUCCAGCUAGCUAAAUCUAAAUUUUUCACCAUAAAAAAAUA